UUGACCUCGGAUCAGGUAGGGGUACCCGCUGAACUUAAGCAUAUCAAUAAGCGGAGGAAAAGAAACCAACAGGGAUUGCCUCAGUAACGGCGAGUGAAGCGGCAAGAGCUCAAAUUUGAAAUCUGGCGCCCCGCCGGCGUCCGAGUUGUAAUUUGGAGAGGCAUCUCAGGAGGG
rnacentral:rRNA from 1 species